rnacentral:rRNA from 1 species
AGUUUAUUUGAUUGCGAUGGCGUUACAGUCAUCACAGCGACCCGAAUCAACCCCGGCUAGGGAAGAAACGGAGAACGAAGAUCGAAUGAAGUGCUGGAGUACACGAGCGGCGGACGGCUGAGUAACACGUAGGAACGUACCCCAAACUGAGGGAUAAGCACCAGAAAUGGUGUCUAAUACCGCAUGUGAUCUCCGGAUUAAAGCUUCGGCGGUUUGGGAACGGCCUGCGCACGAUUAGAUUGUUGGUGAGGUAAUGGCUCACCAAGUCGAUGAUCGUUAGCUGGUCUGAGAGGAUGAUCAGCCAGACUGGGACUGAGAACGGCCCAGACUCCUACGGGAGGCAGCAGUAGGGAAUUUUCCACAAUGGGGGCAACCCUGAUGGAGCAACGCCGCGUGCAGGAUGAAGGCCUUCGGGUUGUAAACUGCUUUUAUAUGUGACGAAUAUGACGGUAGCAUAGAAUAAGGAUCGGCUAACUCCGUGCCAGCAGCCGCGGUCAUACGGAGGAUCCAAGCGUUAUCCGGAAUUACU